rnacentral:rRNA from 1 species
UACGUAGGGGGCUAGCGUUGUCCGGAAUCAUUGGGCGUAAAGAGCGUGUAGGCGGCCCGGUAAGUCCGCUGUAAAAGUCAAAGGCUCAACCUUUGAAUGUCAGUGGAUACUGUCGGGCUAGUGUCCGGAAGAGGCGAGUGGAACUCCUGGUGUAGCGGUGGAAUGCGCAGAUAUCAGGAAGAACACCAACGGCGAAGGCAGCUCGCUGGGACGGUACUGACGCUGAGACGCGAAAGCGUGGGGAGCGAACAGG